UCCUUUAAGUUUCAGCCUUGCGACCGUACUCCCCAGGCGGCGAGCUUAACGGCUUCCCUGCGACACUUCGAUCGCGAACUGCGAUCGAAUCAUCUAGCUCGCAUCGUUUACGGCUGGGACUACCCGGGUAUCUAAUCCGGUUCGCUCCCCCAGCUUUCACCCCUCACCGUCGAGCGCGUUCUGGCGGACCGCCUUCGCCACUGGUGGUCUUCCGCGGAUCAAAGGAUUUUACCCCUACACGCGGAGUACCGUCCGCCUCUCCCGCCUCCUAGUCCCGCAGUAUCCUCUGCAGGCCAGCCGUUGAGCGACUGGAUUUAACAGAGGACUUACGGA
rnacentral:rRNA from 1 species